GCGCCAAGGGCGCACCUGGCGGCGGCGCGGCCCGGCCGGACUGCCGGAGCAGGCUCGGCGGCGGCGCUGGUGGCGAGGAUGUCGCAGCCGCCUCUGCUCCCCGCCUCGGCGGAGACUCGGAAGUUCACCCGGGCGCUGAGUAAGCCGGGCACGGCGGCCGAGCUGCGGCAGAGCGUGUCGGAGGUGGUGCGCGGCUCGGUGCUCCUGGCCAAACCAAAGCUGAUUGAGCCACUCGACUAUGAAAAUGUCAUCGUCCAGAAGAAGACACAGAUCCUGAACGACUGUUUAAGGGAGAUGCUGCUCUUCCCUUUUGAUGACUUUCAGACGGCCAUCCUGAGACGACAGGGGCGGUACGUAUGCUCCACCAUCCCUGCCAACGCACAGCAGGAAGCUCAGAGCUUAUUUGUUACAGAGUGCAUCAAAACCUAUAACUCUGACUGGCAUCUUGUGAACUACAAAUAUGAAGAUUACUCAGGAGAGUUUCGACAGCUUCCAAACAAAGUGGCCAAGUUGGAUAAACUUCCAGUUCAUGUCUAUGAAGUUGAUGAGGAGGUGGACAAAGAUGAGGAUGCUGCUUCCCUCGGCUCUCAGAAGGGUGGGAUCACCAAGCAUGGAUGGCUGUACAAAGGCAACAUGAACAGUGCAAUAAGCGUGACCAUGAGGUCGUUUAAAAGACGAUUUUUCCACUUGAUUCAACUUGGUGAUGGGUCCUACAAUUUGAAUUUUUAUAAAGAUGAAAAGAUCUCCAAGGAACCAAAAGGAUCAAUAUUUCUGGAUUCCUGUAUGGGUGUGGUUCAGAACAACAAAGUCAGGCGUUUUGCUUUUGAGCUCAAGAUGCAGGACAAAAGUAGUUACCUUUUGGCAGCAGACAGUGAAGUGGAAAUGGAAGAGUGGAUCACAACUCUGAACAAGAUUCUCCAGCUCAACUUUGAAGCUGCAAUGCAAGAAAAGCGAAACGGAGACUCGCAUGAAGAUGAUGAACAAAGCAAAUUAGAAGGUUCCGUUUCCGGUUUAGAUAGCUACCUGCCUGAACUUGCCAAGAGUACCAGAGAAGCAGAAAUCAAACUGAAAAGUGAAAGCAGAGUUAAACUGUUUUACUUGGACCCAGAUGCCCAGAAGCUUGACUUCUCAUCAGCUGAGCCAGAAGUGAAGCCAUUUGAAGAAAAGUUUGGAAAAAGAAUUCUUGUCAAGUGCAAUGAUUUAUCUUUCAAUUUGCAAUGCUGUGUUGCUGAAAAUGAAGAAGGACCCACUACAAAUGUCGAGCCUUUCUUUGUUACUCUAUCCCUGUUUGACAUAAAAUACAACCGAAAGAUUUCUGCCGAUUUCCAUGUGGACCUGAACCAUUUCUCAGUGAGGCAGAUGCUGGCCACCACAUCCCCAUCUCUGAUGAACGGCGGUAGGCAGAGCUCGCCUGCCCUGCAGGACAUCCUUCACGAAGCCGCCAUGCAGUAUCCGAAGCAGGGAAUAUUUUCAGUCACGUGCCCUCAUCCUGAUAUAUUUCUUGUGGCUAGAAUUGAAAAAGUGCUUCAGGGGAGCAUCACACAUGGUGCUGAGCCAUACAUGAAAAGUUCAGACUCUUCCAAGGUUGCCCAGAAGGUGCUGAAGAAUGCCAAGCAGGCAUGCCAAAGACUAGGGCAGUACAGAAUGCCAUUUGCUUGGGCAGCAAGGACGUUGUUUAAGGAUGCAUCUGGAAACCUUGACAAAAAUGCCAGAUUUUCUGCUCUCUACAAGCAAGACAGCAAUAAGCUAUCCAAUGAAGACAUGCUCAAGUUACUUGCAGACUUUCGGAAACCUGAGAAGAUGGCUAAACUCCCCGUGAUUUUGGGCAAUCUAGACAUUACAAUUGAUAAUGUUUCCUCAGACUAUCCUAAUUAUGUCAAUUCAUCAUACAUUCCUACGAAGCAAUUUGAAACCUGUACUAAAAUGCCAAUCACAUUUGAGGUAGAGGAAUUUGUGCCCUGCAUACCCAAACACACUCAGCCAUACACCAUCUACAACCACCACCUUUAUGUUUAUCCUAAGUCCUUGAAAUAUGACAGUCAAAAGUCUUUUGCCAAGGCCAGAAAUAUUGCUAUUUGCAUUGAAUUCAAAGAUUCAGAUGAGGAAGACUCUCAGCCUCUGAAGUGCAUUUAUGGCAGACCUGGCGGGCCAGUAUUCACAAGAAGCGCCUUUGCUGCAGUUUUACACCAUCACCAAAACCCAGAAUUUUAUGAUGAGAUUAAAAUAGAAUUGCCCACCCAGCUACAUGAAAAGCACCACUUGCUGUUCACAUUUUUUCACGUCAGCUGUGAUAAUUCAAGCAAAGGAAGCACAAAGAAGAAGGAUGUUGUUGAAACACAAGUUGGAUAUUCCUGGCUUCCUCUCCUGAAAGAUGGAAGGGUGGUGACUAGCGAGCAGCACAUCCCUGUCUCAGCCAAUCUCCCAUCCGGCUACCUUGGCUACCAGGAGCUUGGGAUGGGCAGGCAUUAUGGUCCAGAAAUUAAAUGGGUAGAUGGAAGCAAGCCACUGCUGAAAGUUUCAACUCAUCUGGUUUCCACAGUGUAUACUCAGGAUCAGCACUUACAUAAUUUUUUCCAGUACUGUCAGAAAACCGAAUCCGGAGCUCAAGCCUUAGGGAGUGAACUUGUAAAAUACCUUAAGAGCCUGCACGCGAUGGAAGGUCACGUGAUGAUCGCCUUCUUGCCCACCAUCCUAAACCAGCUAUUCCGUGUCCUCACCCGAGCAACCCAGGAGGAAGUCGCCGUCAACGUGACACGGGUCAUUAUUCAUGUGGUUGCCCAGUGCCAUGAGGAAGGAUUGGAGAGCCACUUGAGGUCAUAUGUUAAGUAUGCUUAUAAGGCUGAGCCGUAUAUUGCUUCCGAAUACAAGACGGUGCAUGAAGAGCUGACCAAAUCCAUGACAACAAUUCUCAAGCCUUCUGCCGAUUUCCUCACCAGCAACAAACUACUUAAGUAUUCAUGGUUUUUCUUUGAAGUUUUGAUCAAAUCCAUGGCUCAGCAUUUGAUAGAGAACUCCAAAGUUAAGUUAUUGCGAAACCAGAGAUUUCCUGCAUCCUAUCAUCAUGCAGUGGAAACUGUUGUGAAUAUGCUGAUGCCACACAUCACUCAGAAGUUUCGAGAUAACCCAGAGGCAUCUAAGAAUGCGAAUCAUAGCCUGGCUGUGUUCAUCAAGAGAUGUUUCACCUUCAUGGAUAGGGGCUUUGUCUUUAAGCAGAUCAACAACUACAUCAGCUGCUUUGCUCCUGGAGAUCCUAAGACCCUCUUUGAAUACAAAUUUGAAUUUCUCCGUGUGGUGUGCAAUCAUGAACAUUAUAUUCCAUUGAAUUUACCAAUGCCAUUUGGAAAAGGCAGAAUUCAAAGAUAUCAAGAUCUCCAGCUUGACUACGCAUUAACGGAUGAGUUCUGCAGAAACCACUUCUUGGUGGGACUGUUACUGAGGGAGGUGGGGACCGCCCUCCAGGAGUUCAGGGAGGUCCGGCUGAUUGCCAUCGGUGUGCUUAAGAACCUGCUGAUAAAGCAUUCUUUUGAUGACAGAUAUGCUUCCAGGAGCCAUCAAGCAAGGAUAGCCACUCUCUACCUGCCUCUGUUCGGUCUGCUGAUUGAGAAUGUCCAGCGGAUCAACGUGAGAGAUGUGUCUCCCUUCCCCGUGAACCCUGGCAGUACUGUGAAGGAGGAAUCCCUUACUUUGCCAGCCGUGAACCCGAUAGUGACACCGCAGAAGUCUGGGAGCACGCUGGAUGCCAGUCUGCACAAGGACCUCUUUGGUGCCAUCUCUGGCAUUGCUUCUCCAUAUACAAACUCAACUCCAAACAUCAGUAGUGUGAGAAAUGCUGAUUCAAGAGGAUCCCUCAUAAGCACAGAUUCCGGGAACAGCCUUCCAGAAAGGAAUAGUGAGAAGAGCAAUUCCCUGGAUAAGCACCAGCAAAGUGGCACUUUGGGAAAUUCUCUCGUUCGCUGUGACAAACUUGACCAGUCUGAGAUUAAGAGCCUGCUGAUGUGUUUCCUCUACAUCUUAAAAAGCAUGUCUGAUGAUGCUUUGUUUACAUAUUGGAACAAGGCCUCAACAUCUGAACUUAUGGAUUUUUUUACAAUAUUGGAAGUCUGCUUGCACCAGUUCCAGUACAUGGGGAAGCGAUAUAUUGCCAGGAACCAGGAGGGGUUGGGACCCAUAGUUCAUGAUCGAAAAUCUCAGACAUUGCCUGUUUCCCGUAACAGAACAGGAAUGAUGCAUGCCAGAUUGCAGCAGCUGGGCAGCCUGGAUAACUCUCUCACUUUUAACCACAGCUAUGGCCACUCGGACGCAGAUGUUCUCCACCAGUCGUUACUUGAAGCCAAUAUUGCUACUGAGGUGUGCCUGACAGCUCUGGACACCCUCUCUCUAUUUACACUGGCAUUUAAGAACCAGCUCCUGGCUGACCAUGGACAUAAUCCCCUCAUGAAAAAGGUUUUUGACGUCUACCUGUGUUUUCUUCAAAAACAUCAGUCUGAAACGGCUUUAAAAAAUGUCUUCACUGCCUUAAGGUCGUUAAUCUAUAAGUUUCCCUCAACGUUCUAUGAGCGAAGAGCGGACAUGUGUGCAGCCCUGUGCUAUGAGAUCCUGAAAUGCUGCAACUCCAAGCUGAGCUCCAUCAGGACCGAGGCCUCCCAACUGCUGUACUUCCUGAUGAGGAACAACUUCGACUACACUGGCAAGAAGUCCUUUGUCCGGACGCAUCUGCAGGUCAUUAUUUCCGUCAGCCAGCUGAUAGCAGACGUCGUUGGCAUUGGGGGAACCAGAUUCCAGCAGUCCUUGUCUAUCAUCAACAACUGUGCCAACAGUGACAGGCUGAUCAAGCACACCACCUUCUCCUCGGACGUGAAGGACCUGACCAAAAGGAUCCGCACAGUUCUGAUGGCCACGGCCCAGAUGAAGGAGCACGAGAAUGACCCCGAGAUGCUGGUGGACCUCCAGUACAGCCUGGCCAAGUCCUACGCCAGCACCCCCGAGCUCCGGAAGACGUGGCUGGACAGCAUGGCCCGGAUCCAUGUCAAAAACGGGGACCUGUCCGAGGCAGCAAUGUGCUAUGUCCAUGUCACAGCCCUGGUGGCAGAAUAUCUCACACGGAAAGAAGCAGACCUAGCCCUCCAGCUGGAGCCGUCCUUCCUCCCCUCCAGCCACAGCAUCUGCCAGAGGAGGCGCCGGGGAGGCAUGUUUAGACAAGGAUGCACAGCUUUCAGGGUGAUUACCCCGAACAUAGAUGAGGAGGCCUCCAUGAUGGAAGACGUCGGCAUGCAGGACGUCCACUUCAACGAGGAUGUGCUCAUGGAGCUCCUGGAACAGUGUGCCGACGGACUCUGGAAGGCCGAGCGCUAUGAGCUGAUCGCCGACAUUUAUAAGCUCAUCAUCCCCAUCUACGAGAAGCGGAGGGAUUUUGAGAGGCUGGCCCAUCUGUAUGACACACUUCACCGAGCCUACAGCAAGGUGACCGAGGUCAUGCACUCAGGCCGAAGGCUUCUGGGGACAUACUUCCGAGUAGCCUUCUUCGGACAGGGAUUCUUUGAAGAUGAAGACGGAAAGGAGUAUAUCUACAAGGAACCCAAACUCACGCCUCUGUCAGAAAUUUCUCAGAGACUCCUUAAACUUUACUCAGAUAAAUUUGGUUCUGAAAACGUCAAAAUGAUACAAGAUUCUGGCAAGGUCAACCCUAAGGAUCUGGAUUCCAAGUAUGCGUAUAUCCAGGUGACUCAUGUGAUCCCAUUCUUUGAUGAGAAGGAAUUGCAAGAAAGAAAAACGGAGUUUGAAAGAUCUCACAACAUUCGCCGCUUCAUGUUUGAGAUGCCCUUCACCCAGACUGGGAAAAGGCAGGGAGGCGUCGAGGAGCAGUGCAAACGGCGCACCAUACUGACAGCCAUACACUGCUUCCCUUACGUGAAGAAGCGGAUCCCCAUCAUGUACCAGCACCACACGGACCUGAACCCCAUCGAGGUGGCCAUUGACGAGAUGAGUAAGAAGGUGGCCGAGCUCCGGCAGCUGUGCUCCUCGGCCGAAGUGGACAUGAUCAAACUGCAGCUCAAACUCCAGGGCAGUGUGAGCGUCCAGGUCAAUGCUGGUCCACUAGCAUAUGCCCGAGCCUUCUUAGAUGACACAAACACAAAAAGAUACCCUGACAAUAAAGUGAAGUUGCUUAAAGAAGUUUUCAGGCAAUUUGUGGAAGCUUGCGGUCAAGCCUUAGCGGUAAAUGAACGGCUGAUCAAAGAGGACCAGUUAGAGUAUCAGGAGGAAAUGAAGGCCAACUACAGGGAAAUGACAAAAGAGCUUUCCGAAAUCAUGCAUGAGCAGAUUUGCCCCCUGGAGGAGAAGACCAGCGUUUUGCCGAAUUCCCUUCACAUCUUCAACGCCAUCAGUGGGACUCCAACGAGCACGCUGGUUCACGGCAUGACCAGCUCGUCCUCCGUGGUGUGACUUCACCUCGUGGGCCGCGUGUGGGGACUUGCUUUGUCAUUCGCAAACUCAGGAUGAUCUCCAGAGCUAAUCACUGGGCACGUGCAGGACACGGGAGACCGAGCACAGGCAGUGGUCGAGGGGAAUGCGGGAGAAGGGAAAUGAAGAGCCGUGUUAUUUCGUUUCAUGGCAGAUUUCCUGGAGGAGUCAUAAGGGAGUGCACAUAUUUUUUUAAACCUUGCUGGCAAUAUUCAACAUUUUCAUUAUGUCUUAACAGAGGUGAGUACUCCGGGAUGAGGUGGUCAUUUAUCCCAGCAAGGCAUCAGUGGCCAGGUGUGCACGCACUCCCUGCGCCCUACAUCAUCAUAAACGCUGAAGUCGAGUCAAGGGAUGCCUCAGACUGCAGGUGCUGGUCUGCAGUGUGCCUGUGGUGUGCCCAGGGACCCAGCAGAGGAGCCACUCAGCCCCAGAGUUCCAGUGAUGGAAGCAAGAGGAGUCUUUCACAAGAAAUAAAAUAGCUGGUUUUCCUACUUGAAGGGUUUUGGAGGCUGUCUUUUUUCAUAACCAGUUGAGGAAGGAAAUCAUGAUGCUGUGUACAUCCUGAGCACCCAGAUGCCAAGGAUCUUUUGGUGUCUUUGGAGCAUUCUCUAUCAGUGGGCAAAGCUGUAUUUUACAGAUGGUGACAAGGUCAUGAAGAAGAGAUGUGAGGAGUUACGACAACUCACCAGGCUGCAGCCCAUUCAUUAGUGGAUCCAGACUUAGGGCUUGAGAAGAUUCUCUGUGUUUGCCCUGAGUCUCUGACAUGUCAGCCCCGUGUAAUAAACCUUGACUGUCCGUAACACCAGCAGGGAUAGGUAUAAGAGUUUGUCUCCCUUGUCGCCGAGCUGGAUUUCCUGGUCACAAAUGCCUCAUUUAGAAGCCAUAAAAUGCAAGUCAUCGAGCAGGAAGAUAAAUACAUCUAGAAAGAGAUAACUUGCUACCUUGUGGUUAAACUUGGAAAGUAGUUUGUACAGAUUUCAUGUCAGAUAAGAUUCAGCUUGGAAGGUGACCAGCCCUCACUAAUUACAACAGUGGAGAAAGGAACCAUCUCUAAGAUGAAGACAUCUAUUGACCCUGCACUGAGACACAUUCACAUCAAUUAAAAACCUCAUUUAGUUUAUGCAUAAAAUUUUAAUUUUGGUAUAAAGUUACACAUUAAAGUAGUAGUUUA